GAUGAACGCUGGCGGCGUGCUUAACACAUGCAAGUCGAACGAUGAAGCCCAGCUUGCUGGGUGGAUUAGUGGCGAACGGGUGAGUAACACGUGAGUAACCUGCCCUUAACUCUGGGAUAAGCCUGGGAAACUGGGUCUAAUACCGGAUAGGAGCGUCCACCGCAUGGUGGGUGUUGGAAAGAUUUAUCGGUUUUGGAUGGACUCGCGGCCUAUCAGCUUGUUGGUGAGGUAAUGGCUCACCAAGGCGACGACGGGUAGCCGGCCUGAGAGGGUGACCGGCCACACUGGGACUGAGACACGGCCCAGGCUCCUACGGGAGGCAGCAGUGGGGAAUAUUGCACAAUGGGCUCAAGCCUGAUGCAGCGACGCCGCGUGAGGGAUGACGGCCUUCGGGUUGUAAACCUCUUUCGGUAGGGAAGAAGCGAAAGUGACGGUACCUGCAGAAGAAGCACCGGCUAACUACGUG
rnacentral:rRNA from 1 species